rnacentral:rRNA from 1 species
GACAGAGGAUGCAAGCGUUAUCCGGAAUGAUUGGGCGUAAAGCGUCUGUAGGUGGCUUUUUAAGUCUGCCGUCAAAUCCCAGGGCUUAACCCUGGACAGGCGGUGGAAACUACCAAGCUGGAGUACGGUAGGGGCAGAGGGAAUUCCCAGUGUAGCGGUGAAAUGCGUAGAGAUUGGGAAGAACACCGGUGGCGAAAGCGCUCUGCUGGGCCGCAACUGACACUAAUGGACGAAAGCUAGGGGAGCGAAUGGG